AUCCAGCUGACGAGUCUCAAAUAGGACGAGAUGCACAUCAAACUGGAU
rfam:Schistosoma haematobium scaffold1658_1, whole genome shotgun sequence.